UACGAAGGGGGCUAGCGUUGCUCGGAAUCACUGGGCGUAAAGCGCACGUAGGCGGGUCUUUAAGUCGGAGGUGAAAUCCUGGAGCUCAACUCCAGAACUGCCUUCGAUACUGAGGAUCUCGAGUCCGGGAGAGGUGAGUGGAACUGCGAGUGUAGAGGUGAAAUUCGUAGAUAUUCGCAAGAACACCAGUGGCGAAGGCGGCUCACUGGCCCGGUACUGACGCUGAGGUGCGAAAGCUAGGGGAGCAAACAGG
rnacentral:rRNA from 1 species